rnacentral:misc_RNA from 1 species
GAAAUGCGAUAAGUAAUGUGAAUUGCAGAAUCUAGUGAAUCAUCGAAUCUUUGAACGCACAUUGCGCCUUCUGGUAUUCCGGGAGGCACGUCUGUUUGAGCGUCAGCAACACCUCAAAGCUCGCUUUGGUUAUAGGACGGGUCGGCCCCUUGGGCGCGCCCUCCUUAACGUUGCCCGACGAUAGCGGUCCAGUGGCCUGGCAGUAGACGUAGUAAACUUUUCUCGUUUGUCUGUCGGGACGCGGUCGCCUACAAACCCCCAAACUUUUGACCUCAAAUCAGACGAGGAUACCCGCUGAACUUAA